rnacentral:SRP_RNA from 1 species
GCCGGGCGUGGUGGCUCACGCCUGUAAUCCCAGCACUUUGGGAGGCCGAGAUGGGCGGAUCACCUGAGGUCGGGAGUUCGAGACUAGCCUGACCAACAUGGAGAAACCCCGUCUCUA